UUCUUAUCAAGAGAGGCGGAGGGACUGGCCCUAUGAAACCCAACAACCGGCAUUUAUUUCAAUAUGUAUCGGUGUUAAUUCCUGCAGAGUUAAUUUAUACUCUGAAAGAUGAGAA
rnacentral:ncRNA from 19 species